ACUUUUAAUGGGAUUGCAGAAAUCCGA
rnacentral:tRNA from 1 species